AGUGAACGCUGGCGGUAGGCCUAACACAUGCAAGUCGAACGGCAGCACAGGAGAGCUUGCUCUCUGGGUGGCGGGUGGCGGACGGGUGAGGAAUACAUCGGAAUCUACUCUGUCGUGGGGGAUAACGUAGGGAAACUUACGCUAAUACCGCAUACGACCUACGGGUGAAAGCAGGGGACCUUCGGGCCUUGCGCGAUUGAAUGAGCCGAUGUCGGAUUAGCUAGUUGGCGGGGUAAAGGCCCACCAAGGCGACGAUCCGUAGCUGGUCUGAGCGGAUGAUCAGCCACACUGGAACAGAGAAACGGUGCAGACUCCUACGGGAGGCAGCAGUGGGGAAUAUUGGACAAUGGGCGCAAGCCUGAUCCAGCCAUACCGCGUGGGUGAAGAAGGCCUUCGGGUUGUAAAGCCCUUUUGUUGGGAAAGAAAUCCAGCUGGCUAAUACCCGGUUGGGAUGACGGUACCCAAAGAAUAAGCACCGGCUAACUUCGUGCCAGCAGCCGCCGUAA
rnacentral:rRNA from 1 species